CGUAGGUCCCGAGCGUUGUCCGGAUUUAUUGGGCGUAAAGCGAGCGCAGGUGGUUUAUUAAGUCUGGUGUAAAAGGACAGUGGCUCAACCAUUGUAUGCAUUGGAAACUGGUAGACUUGAGUGCAGGAGAGGAGAGUGGAAUUCCAUGUGUAGCGGUGAAAUGCGUAGAUAUAUGGAGGAACACCGGUGGCGAAAGCGGCUCUCUGGCCUGCAACUGACACUGAGGCUCGAAAGCGUGGGAGCAAACAGGAUU
rnacentral:rRNA from 1 species